ensembl:snRNA U1 U1 spliceosomal RNA
AUACUUACCCAGCAGGGGAGACACCAUAAUCAUAAAGGCAGUUUUCCUAGGGCGAGGCUUACCAACCGCACUCCGGACGUGCUGACACUUGAGGUUUCCCCGAAUGUGGGAAACUCAACUGCAUAGUUGUUGUAGUGGA